GGGGAAUUAGCUCAAGUGGUAGAGCGCUCGCUUAGCAUGUGAGAGAUACCGGGAUCGAUACUCGGAUUCUCCA
rnacentral:tRNA from 1 species